GAUGAACGCUGGCGGCGUGCUUAACACAUGCCAGUCGUACGGUAAGGCCCUUUCGGGGGUACACGAGUGGCGAACGGGUGAGUAACACGUGAGUAACCUGCCCACAACUUUGGGAUAACGCUAGGAAACUGGUGCUAAUACUGGAUAUGUGCUCCUGCUGCAUGGUGGGGGUUGGAAAGCUCCGGCGGUUGUGGAUGGACUCGCGGCCUAUCAGCUUGUUGGUGGGGUAGUGGCCUACCAAGGCGGCGACGGGUAGCCGGCCUGAGAGGGUGACCGGCCACAUUGGGACUGAGAUACGGCCCAGACUCCUACGGGAGGCAGCAGUGGGGAAUAUUGCACAAUGGGCGCAAGCCUGAUGCAGCAACGCCGCGUGCGGGAUGACGGCCUUCGGGUUGUAAACCGCGUUCAGCAGGGACGAAGCUUUUUGUGACGGUACCUGCAGAAGAAGCACCGGCUAACUACGUG
rnacentral:rRNA from 1 species